rnacentral:rRNA from 1 species
AACACAUGCAAGUCGAACGGUAACAGGAAGCAGCUUGCUGCUUCGCUGACGAGUGGCGGACGGGUGAGUAAUGUCUGGGAAGCUGCCUGAUGGAGGGGGAUAACUACUGGAAACGGUAGCUAAUACCGCAUAAUGUCGCAAGACCAAAGAGGGGGACCUUUGGGCCUCUUGCCAUCGGAUGUGCCCAGAUGGGAUUAGCUUGUUGGUGGGGUAACGGCUCACCAAGGCGACGAUCCCUAGCUGGUCUGAGAGGAUGACCAGCCACACUGGAACUGAGACACGGUCCAGACUCCUACGGGAGGCAGCAGUGGGGAAUAUUGCACAAUGGGCGCAAGCCUGAUGCAGCCAUGCCGCGUGUAUGAAGAAGGCCUUCGGGUUGUAAAGUACUUUCAGCGGGGAGGAAGGGAGUAAAGUUAAUACCUUUGCUCAUUGACGUUACCCGCAAGAAGAAGCACCCGGCUAAACUCCGUGCCAGCAGCC